AGCUCCAAUAGCGUAUACUAAAUUUGCUGCAGUUGAAAAGCUCGUAGUUGAAUUUAAUUUAAAUGAAGAUAAAAAUAAAGGUUUAACGACUUUUAUUCUUCAUUUUUAUAAAAUAAAGGAAGUUUCAAUUUAUUGAUUCUAAGAGUUUUCGGAUUCUUUUUUUCCUUAUUUUACCUUGAAUAAAUUAGAGUGUUUAAAGCAGUCAUUAAGUUUACUUAAUUUUUGAUUGUAUAUUUCAGCAUGGGAUAAUAAAAUUUAAUUAAUGUGAAAUUUUUGGUUUUUUCAUAUUGAUUAUGAUUAAUGGAAUCAGUUGGGGGCGUUCAUAUUUAAUUGUCAGAGGUGAAAUUCUUAGAUUUAUUACAGAUGAACUUAUGCGAAAGCAUUCGGCAAGGAUGUUUUC
rnacentral:rRNA from 1 species